UCACCGUAGACCAGUUCUGCUGCGGAUGC
rnacentral:piRNA from 1 species